rnacentral:rRNA from 1 species
GGUGACCUACGGGACGCAGCAGUGGGGAAUAUUGCGCAAUGGACGAAAGUCUGACCGAGCAACGCCGCGUGAGUGAAGAAGGUUUUCGGAUCGUAAAACUCUGUUGGUAGAGAAGAACGUUGGUGAGAGUGGAAAGCUCAUCAAGUGACGGUAACUACUCAGAAAGGGACGGCUAACUACGUGCCAGCAGCCGCGGUAAUACGUAGGUCCCGAGCGUUGUCCGGAUUUAUUGGGCGUAAAGCGAGCGCAGGUGGUUUAUUAAGUCUGCUGU